rnacentral:rRNA from 1 species
UNUGACUUGAGUGCAGAAGGGGAGAGUGGAAUUCCAUGUGUAGCGGUGAAAUGCGUAGAUAUAUGGAGGAACACCAGUGGCGAAAGCGGCUCUCUGGUCUGUCACUGACGCUGAGGCUCGAAAGCGUGGGUAGCGAACAGGAUUAGAUACCCUGGUAGUNCACGCCGUAAACGAUGAGUGCUAGGUGUUAGGCCCUUUCCGGGGCUUAGUGCCGGAGCUAACGCAAUAAGCACUCCGCCUGGGGAGUACGACCGCAAGGUUGAAACUCAAAGGAAUUGACGGGGGCCCGCACAAGCGGUGGAGCAUGUGGUUUAAUUCGAAGCAACGCGAAGAACCUUACCAGGUCUUGACAUUCCGAUGCUAUUCUUAGAGAUAGGAAGUUACUUCGGUACAUCGGAGACAGGUGGUGCAUGGUUGUCGUCAGCUCGUGUCGUGAGAUGUUGGGUUAAGUCCCGCAACGAGCGCAACCCUUAUUGUUAGUUGCCAUCAUUAAGUUGGGCACUCUAGCGAGACUGCCGGUAAUAAACCGGAGGAAGGUGGGGAUGACGUCAAAUCAUCAUGCCCCUUAUGACCUGGGCUACACACGUGCUACAAUGGUCGGUACAACGAGUUGCGAGCCGGUGACGGCAAGCUAAUCUCUGAAAGCCGAUCUCAGUUCGGAUUGGAGGCUGCAACUCGCCUCCAUGAAGUCGGAAUCGCUAGUAAUCGCGGAUCAGCACGCCGCGGUGAAUACGUUCCCGGGCCUUGUACACACCGCCCGUCACACCACGAGAGUUUGUAACACCCGAAGUCAGUGAGGUAACCU